AGCAGCCGCGGUAAUUCCAGCUCCAAUAGCGUAUAUUAAAGUUGUUGCAGUUAAAAAGCUCGUAGUUGAAUUUCGGGGUUAGCAGGUCGGUCGUGCCAUCGGUAUGAACUGGUCUCGCUGAUCCCUCCCUCUUGACGAACUGUGAUGCCAUUAAUUUGGUGUCGCAGGGAAUCAGGACUGUUACUUUGAAAAAUUAGAGUGUUUAAAGCAGGCUCACGCUUGAAUACAUUAGCAUGGAAUAAUGAAAUAGGACGUUUGAUCCUAUUUUGUUGGCUUCUAGGAUUGACGUAAUGAUUAAUAGGGAUAGUUGGGGGCAUUAGUAUUCAAUUGUCAGAGGUGAAAUUCUUGGAUUUAUUGAAGACUAACUACUGCGAAAGCAUUUGCCAAGGAUGUUUUCAUUAAUCAAGAACGAAAGUUAGGGGAUCGAAGACGAUCAGAUACCGUCGUAGUCUUAACCAUAAACUAUGCCGACUAGGGAUCGGAUG
rnacentral:rRNA from 1 species